CCCUCCCCUCGCUCCCGCCCACGGCCCCGGACAAAGGGACCCGAAGCCCGCGUCCCCUCUCGCUGCCGCGCCCUGGGGUUCCCGCAGGGUCUCCCCACAGUGCCCCUCGCUUGGCUGCGCCGUCGGGGGGAGAUGCGCUCGGCUGGCGGUGUGGCUAUAAAUUACAGAAUCGCGGAAUAAAUCAGGCUGGGAUGGUCGCUCCCAACCUAUGACCGGACACCAUCCUGUCAACAACACCGUGGCACUAAACGCCGCGUUCAGGCUUUCCUUAAGUACCGCCAGGGAUGGUGACUCCAGCACYUCCCUGGACAGCCCAUUCCAAUGCCUCACCACCCUUUCCUAUGAAGAAAYUCCUCCUGGWGUCCAACCUAACCCCMCCGGUACAGCUUCAGGCCAUUUCCUCUUGCCCUUGUGCCCUGAAAGCAGAGCCCGAACCKCGGCCCCAGCUCCACACCUUSCCCCACCCCCGGCYGUCCCCUCUUGUCAGGGAGUUGUGCAGAACCACAAGGUCCCCCCUGAGCCUCYUUUGCUCCAGGCUGAGCCCCUUUCCCAGCUCCMUCAGCCACUCCUGGGGCUCCAGACCCUUCCCCAGCUCAGUUCCCUUCCCUGGACGCGCUCCAGCCCCUCAAUUUCGUGUCGUGAGGAGCCCAGAACCGGACACAGCCGGUGCGGCCUCAGCAGUGCCCAGCACAGGGACGGUCACUGCCCUGCUCCUGCUGCCACCCCAUGGCUGGGACAGUCCAGGGGCCAUCGGCCGUCUGGGCCACCUGGGCACCCCAGGCUGCCUGGGCACCACGUUCAGCCAUGCAUGUUCAGCUGCAGCUAUAAAUCCCUCAAAAAUAAGAGAUUUUGCUGUGCCAGAUGUUUCUUAUUCUGAAUUUACUCCUCCCUCUCUUGCAGGCUGCUCUCUGUGUCGCUGUGUGGACAGUGUCGGCUCCUGGCUCUGCCUGAGUGCCCCGGUGUGGGGCUGCUUUGAUGGUGUUUGAUAUACAGGGAUCUCCCAGGUCAGCAGCUAUAGGAUGAGAGGAYAGCCUUAAGAUGCACCAGGGGAGAUUCAGUUGGUGYGCCUGCAGCAAAGUACUUUUCUCUCCUGACAGAGGAAUGGGUGUGAUGUGCUCCAUUUCACCUCCCAAAUUUAAAGAAUGUGUUUAAAAUUGAAGCUGUUGAUUUCCCCGCCUUUUGCUUGCAUUUGAGAUUUGUUUCUGGGGCUUAUGUGGCUGAAUUCUUCCUGCUGGAUUAGGCYGAAAAAGGAAGUGAGUAAAAUAUGGGUCUUCAAACUGUGCCUGGCCUGAUGUCAGGCUAAYGAAACUGAAUAUCAGCAUUGUUCCUCUUUACUCAGGGCAGCUCUGGCCUGAUGCUGGGCAUGCAUGGGAUGAACAUCCCGUGUCCAGAAGAGCCUGAGAGUGCCAGGGCUCGAACUACCAGAAAUCCAAUGCUUAGAUGGUCACAAUGACUGAAGAUCUGGAGUAAUUUCUUCCCCUCCGAAACCCAAACCAAAAUAAAAGGAAUGUGAUGUUUACCCAUGUGACUCAGCCCUGAAUCUGACACACCUCUGAAAUGCAUCACAACUACUUUUCACAUGGCUUCAAAAUGCCACCGCAGCAAGGAUUUAUUAAUUUUAAUUUUAAUUUACUAAUUUUGCAGUCAGAGUGAAUUGUAUAUAUGGGGCAUGUACACAAUUUACAGAGUCAGCAGACUAUACCUCUUGGACUCACCUCUUCUAAAUGUUCAAAGUGUUUCAAUACCUGAGAUAUUUUUUUAACAAAAGCCUUCUAUCAGGCACCAUUUAAAAGUGAAAGUUUUCCAUGUAUGCUGAUUUAAGUAAAAUUCUAGAGUCUGGAAAAAUCUGUGUGAAAUUUGCAUUGAUCCUGUAAUUCUUAGUAAGUGAGCAGUUUUUGCUGUUGCCAGUUUUGUAUUGCUAAAAUAGAUUUUAUAUAUACAUACAAUAAUUUGUAUUUAUACCAUAUUGGCUUUUAGAGUGGGUGAGAAUCACAGUGAAUACAUUCUGCUAAUGUGUCCAUAGUCUAAGGGUUACCUCAGUGAUUUAAAUAUUAUUCUCCAAAAUUAGAAAUGGACAAAUAUUUAACUUUACAUUACCUUUCCUGAGUAUUUAUGAGAAAAUAUUGUCUGUUUGCUUCCACCUGGGGAAUGUUUGCUGAAGAAGAGUCAAAAAGAGUACAUGCUUCAGUCUGUGCUUUUAAUAGACAAAAUAAAACAAACAAACAAACAAACAAAAAGAAUAGAAAUGUUUUUUCUGUAACCUUCAUGGCAGGAGGAGAGAGCACGGGUUGUCUGCAGCUGUUUAGAAAGAGCAAAAUCUGGAGGCUCCUCACAGGAGCAGAUGGGGUAAUAGUAAUACUCCUCCCUGUUUUUUGGCUUCAAUAACCUGAAAAUUAUAACUGUGAGUGCUGCAUGGUUCAUGUGCUUCUGACUGCUGCUCUGUAUAGCAAGAACUUAAGUAUACUACACUGCACUUCAUAAGUUCCCUCAUGCAGAACYUGAAGCCUUUCCUAAAACAAUCUAAAAUUUUAAUUUAGCACUGUGUCUUAAGAGGAUUCAAACAGAGCCAUCAAUAUUGUUUGAGAUAA